rnacentral:rRNA from 1 species
UACGUAGGGUGCGAGCGUUGUCCGGAAUUACUGGGCGUAAAGAGCUCGUAGGUGGUUUGUCGCGUUGUUCGUGAAAACCGGGGGCUUAACCCUCGGCGUGCGGGCGAUACGGGCAGACUGGAGUACUGCAGGGGGAGACUGGAAUUCCUGGUGUAGCGGUGGAAUGCGCAGAUAUCAGGAGGAACACCGGUGGCGAAGGCGGGUCUCUGGGCAGUAACUGACGCUGGAGGAGCGAAAGCCGUGGGGAGCGAACAGG